GAUGAAGAACGUAGUGAAAUGCGAUAAGUAAUGUGAAUUGCAGAAUUCCGUGAAUCAUCGAAUCUUUGAACGCACAUUGCGCCCCCUGGUAUUCCGGGGGGCAUGCCUGUCCGAGCGUCAUUGCAACCUUCAAGCGCGGCUUGUGUGUUGGGUCUCGUCCCCCGUGGACUGGCCCGAAAGGCAGUGGCGGCGUCCCGACAUGGUGCCCGAGCGUAUGGGAAUCCUCUUCCGCUCGAAUCGGCCCAUGCGGCGCUGGUCGUAACCAAAUUUUUUACCGGUUGACCUCGGAUCAGGUAGGGAUACCCGCUGAACUUAAGCAUAUCAAUAAGCGGAGGA
rnacentral:misc_RNA from 1 species